AACGUAGGACGCGAGCGUUAUCCGGAAUCAUUGGGCGUAAAGCGCACGUAGGCGGCUUGAUAAGUCAGGGGUGAAAUCCCGGAGCUCAACUUCGGAAUUGCCUUUGAUACUGUCUGUCUUGAGUCCGGGAGAGGUGAGUGGAAUUCCUAGUGUAGAGGUGAAAUUCGUAGAUAUUCGGAAGAACACCAGUGGCGAAGGCGACUCGCUGGACAAGUAUUGACGCUGAGGUGCGAAAGCGUGGGGAGCAAACAGG
rnacentral:rRNA from 1 species